UGCUGACCUCAGGUUCUGACUCCCUU
rnacentral:piRNA from 1 species